rnacentral:ncRNA from 1 species
UAUGGUCCUAUCCAUACAGGUGCAAGGGAAUCCGCGUGAAAGACCGGAGCUGUUCCUGCAGCUGUAAUCUCCAAAUAGAUGCCUUGCCACCGCAAGUGUCACUGUCUGACUCGCACAGAUGGGAAGACCUGGCAAGGACGGAGUAAGCCAGAAUACCUGCCAAAUGUUAU